GAUGAACGCUAGCUACAGGCUUAACACAUGCAAGUCGCGGGGCAGCAUGGGGGUUGCUUGCAAUCCCCGAUGGCGACCGGCGCACGGGUGAGUAACGCGUAUCCAACCUGCCCUUCACCACGGGAUAACCCGGCGCAAGUCGGACUAAUACCGUAUGUUGUCCAUUGACGGCAUCCGAAUUGGACGAAAGGCUUGGCGGUGAGGGAUGGGGAUGCGUCCGAUUAGCCAGACGGCGGGGUAACGGCCCACCGUGGCUACGAUCGGUAGGGGUUCUGAGAGGAAGGUCCCCCACACUGGAACUGAGACACGGUCCAGACUCCUACGGGAGGCAGCAGUGAGGAAUAUUGGUCAAUGGGCGUAAGCCUGAACCAGCCAAGUAGCGUGCAGGAUGACGGCCCUAUGGGUUGUAAACUGCUUUUAUGCGGGGAUAAAGUGGCCCACGUGUGGGCUUUUGCAGGUACCGCAUGAAUAAGGACCGGCUAAUUCCGUG
rnacentral:rRNA from 1 species